GCGGCCGUGGUCUAGUCUGGUUAGGACACAGUCAACGGUGUAAGCCUUCCAAGCCUGCAAUCCCGGGUUCGAAUCCCGGCGGCCGCACCA
rnacentral:tRNA from 1 species